AAGCCCAGCAGACCAGUUUUUUCGGAACGGGGAGGAAUAUGUGUAUAAAUAUAAAUAUGUAUAUUCCGGGGGUAACGAAAGCGUAGCUGAUUUUGUUGUAUUAUAAACACAAAUAAAUAAAGGACGCGACGGCUGUUUGGGCAGGAUGUGCGAUCGCGAAUGAGGCAAACGAGGCAGAAACACGAAAUCGUCCUUCGUCCUUCAUCCUUCAUCCUUCAUCCUGCGGCUGCGGCGGCUGGCUGCCAACAAUGGCUGCGAUGACAGCCCAGCCUAAAUGCCGGGCUGGAAAAUACAUACAUAUAUUCAAAGGGUGCCCGGGAUGCACAGGACUCGCAGGAUAGCCGCACACACAGACGCGGUGCUCCGAGCUCCGAGCAUCGGGCAUCGGGCAUCGGAUCCAUCAGGCAUUGGAAACCACCACCUUUGCACCACCUUUGCACCACCCUGGCCACAGUUGCCAUUGUUCACCCAUAUGUUAAGACGUGCUAAAUAUGGGAGUGUCCUUGUCAUUUAUAUGUCGCAAUGUCGCCCGCUCCAGAUUACGCACUCUAUGCACGG